AAUAAUUUGAUAUUCUGGUUUUCCAGUUAAUAUCCUAUUUUACUGUGAACUGUAUUAUUACAAGAUGUUUGAGGGAUGCUUACUUAACUAUAAGGAUAGGUUAGUAAGAUGUUUAACCGAGUCUUGAUCAAACUUUUAGUUUGGUAUCCUAUUUAUUAUUUACCAAAAGAAUUCAGUAUAAAAUAUUGUAACAUAGACCUAAAAAAUCUAUAAAAA
rnacentral:misc_RNA from 1 species